UAACUUCUACUAGGGUUUCCGGACACGUUUGUUUUUGAGACUAUAUAUAUGGUCUAACCCUUCUUCGUCCUGAUGAAAUCACUAGAACGAGCAGCUCGCCAGGGAUGAGACCCGGCCGCCGCUGGGAUCGUCGCAGCCCUGAGUAGCCGCCUUUAGUUUCAUCAACCUCAGGUUUCCACUGGUGCAGGAUCGGAGAUUGAUUUUGGAGCAGGAGUGAUUGAGGAGUUGUGCUGUUUUUCUGUUCUCACUCUCUUCUUCCUCUUUCCAAACAUCAUCAAGGACUUCAGAUCUCUAAUACUCCGUAGAUUUUGCUCAAAGCUUUUUUCCACUCGUUGUUUUCAACUUGAAAAGUUUUUUUUUUCCUCCUAGAUUUAUCUUUUUUGGGUAAAUAAACCCUAUUUUCUCUUCAUAACAAAAAAAGAAACAAUUUUAGUUUAUCGCAAUUCAUUAUAGAUUAUAGCCAAGGCAGUAAACUGAUCUUUCUUAGUCCACCUCUCAGACGGAAAAUUCUUGUUUCCACUUAGUUGUGGAGACGCCAAAAAUUGUAGGAAUUAAACCUCGUCAAUAUUGGGACUUGGAGUAAAGUGAUUGCACCAUCUCUGUUUUUGCACCAGUGUGAACAAAUAUUACCUGAUUGAGAGCAGAGGUAAGAACUAAAUCCAAGUGACUUAUGAUGGAAACAUAGUAGAUCAUUGAUAAAGAGAAAAAUAACUAGGGCUUUUAUUGGCAGAUCUUUUAGAAUUGACUGAUUAUUUGAUGAAGACGAAUCUCAGAAAAUAAAUAAUAGUUUUGUGUUUCAAAAAUUCAAUACCAUGAUUGAAUCAUUAGUUCUAGAAACCUUUCAAGUUGUGACUGGAGAAGGUACAUGUCCUUGGUGUGUCUGGAAAGAUGAGGCAGACUGGUUGAGUAUUUGUAAAUUAACCACAGAAGUAGUGAUGUCAAGCAAGGCAGCAGCAGUAUGGAAGUUCUCUUUCUUGCUUACGGAACACACAAUCUAGUUUAAUCUGUAACAUUUUAUUCUUUGUGAAAGUCAGGUGCAAUUUCAUGGUUCAUCAAAAGAAAGGUGAGUACUUCAAGUCAUCUUGAUCUUGUUCUCCAUAGUCAUUUGGUCUUUUGCGAUUAAGAUCAAUCAUAGCAUACAUCUCUGCUUUGCUUACUGCUUGGUGUGCAUGCAAGACCAGGGGCUCUAUUGCGAAACAUUUUGCCCGUUUGGAUGCACUCAGUUUUGUUAAUGCAAUUUGUUGGAAUUUUUGUCCUGCACAUGAAUGUUUCUUCUUUCAUCUGAGCCUACAUGUAAGUGCAAAUGGAUUUAUGAUUAUAUUCACAUUUCCAACUCCCCCAAAGAGUUGAUUUGGUCUUUUGCUAUUAAGAUACCGACAUACGACACAACAUCUGAUUUAGUUGGGAAUGGAUUAUGGCACUAUCUGAGGAAAUUCCAAAUUUGGCCGGAGGCCUGAAUCGUGCAGUUGGAUAUAUUUUCCCCUUUUCCUGUUUCUUUUCUUGCCAAAGUUAGUUUGAUAUUGACUUAAGUAUCGGAAGGACCUUCGUUGUUUAUCCAACGCCAUCUAACUUGUUUCUUUCUCGUUACUAGGGUUGCAUUAUUCUCAUUCAAGCUAUAAGUUGACGGUGCUGAAAAUUCCGUUAAGUAUGGAGUAAAAACUACUAGUACAUUGGAUGUACUUACUCUAUGAGGACCAAAAUCAGCUAAUAUCGUGAGAGACUACUGUUCAAGAUUUGUUGUUUGUUCAUUCAAUGUCGUCCAGCCCAUUGGAAGCAAUGGCAGAGUUUGGUUUUCUUCUUACCACAAAAAGUGAGUAAUUCUUCAAGUUGGAUGUAGAAAACAGGGGAUCUGCAAUUUGGAUUUUGGUUUUUGGUGUCAAACUGUAAUGAUUUUAAUACAGAGCGAAGGGGCAACUCUGGAUAUGUUUCAUUUCAUUUUCUUUUUUCAUGUAAUUUGUACUGGCUGUUAGAGCACACUUAAUUUGAUUAUGUAAUUUAAAUUUU